AUGGUGAAACUUUUUAUCACUACCGUCGCACAUAAAAUAAAUCCAUGUAUGCAGACCUCAUCAAUGAUGGCAACCUUUUCAUCACACACACACACACACAGAUAUAUAUGGAAAAUGGAAGUCCCAUUGAAAAUAAAAAUCUUCAUGUUGUACUUGGAUCGCAAGGUCAUCCUGACAAAAGAUAAUAUGAAAAAAGAGAUCGACAAGGAUGCACUAAGUGUUGCUUUUGUGGCGAUGAGGAGUCGAUUCGGCAUCUAUUCCUUCAAUGCCCACUUGCCAAGCUACUAUGCCAAACGGUCCAUAUAG
rnacentral:rRNA from 1 species